GUCCCGUGUUUGCAGUAAAUGGGGAAUUGCCUCAGCGGCUGCAGGCCUGAGUGAGCGCCGCCAUCUUUAUUCGGGACAAGGAUUCACUGGACACGUGCGGAGCCGCCAUCUUUGUAGGGGGCAAGGUGCAGCCAGGCGCAUGUGCAGCCUCUCUCUGGUACAGAGUCAUUGUGAUGACAGCAGCCAAUCCUGCUCUGAUUCACCUCUGGGCUCCCUCAGGACCACUUUGUCAAUGUCCAGCUUCCUCAGUCUCCAACCAUGGGGAUCCCAGUGAUUAAUGCCAAAGCCCUGUUGCCUGUGGAGAGGGUGAUGUUUGACUUUCUUGUACAGCUGCAGUUUGUGUGGUGAAGGUGCUCCCACAAUGUGGUUGGAUCCCAGUGAUUAAUGCCAAAGCCCCAUUGCCUGGGGAGAGGGUGAUGUUUGACUUCCUUGUACAGCUGCAGUUUGUGUGGUGAAGGUGCUCCCACAAUGUGG